UAGCAAUACAAGGCAGACGGCUCAGUAACGCGUAGUCAAUCUACCCUAUGGACGGGAAUAACCUCGGGAAACUGAGAAUAAUGCCCGAUAGAACAUUAUACCUGGAACGGUUUAUGUUUCAAAUGAUUUAUCGCCGUAGGAUGGGACUGCGGCCUAUCUGUUUGUUGGUGAGGUAAUGGCCCACCAAGACUAUUACAGGUACGGGCUCUGAGAGGAGUAGCCCGGAGAUGGGUACUGAGACACGGACCCAGGCCCUAUGGGGCGCAGCAGGCGAGAAAACUUUGCAAUGUGCGAAAGCACGACAAGGUUAAUCCGAGUGGUUUCUGCUAAAGAAACCUUUUGCUAGUCCUAGAAACACUAGUGAAUAAGGGGUAGGCAAGUUCUGGUGUCAGCCCGCCGCGGAAAACCAGCACCUCAAGUGGUCAGGGAUGAUUAUUGGGCCUA
rnacentral:rRNA from 1 species